UUACGCCGCCGUUGUCACCGUCUACGGUUUUUAAGCGGGACAGGAGAUGAUCAUGUUUCUCAGAUGCAGGCAAGCAUUAGGCUUAUCGGAUGCGGGGAGGAAGGUGACGACAUCAGGGGUGUGUGUGUGUGUGUGUGUGUGUGUGUGUGUGUGUGUGUGUGUGUGUGUGUGUGUGUCCGUCCACCAGUGUGACACACACAAUUUUGAAAUACAAGUCUGAGUCAUAGUUCGCCAAGUACCCACUCGCUCACCACCUUGUAGGAAGAAAGUCCUUUGAUAUAAUUUAUAAUAACGAAUCAGAAAUUCAGUCCGAUGUUGGCUUAUCGUGGUCAGCCAUUCAGGACAGCAAAAAGGUUGACACGCAAAUUACCCAGACAUUCUCCAUGUCCUAAAUAAUGCUUGACUUGAUACUUAGAUUUAGACACAGAGUCUGAGUUCAGGGCUUAUGGGGCGGGGUGGGGGGACAGCGUUUGCGUUCUUUCCUGUUUCUCAAAUGUCUUCUCGUGAGUUGGACGCUGAACUUCCCCUUAUUCUGGCAGCUGCUUCUCUAAUCCCCGCCAGCGGAGGGUGUCCUGUAUGCAGGGGUCAUUCUCCGUGCCAUGCAGGGUUACCGGUCGCCAGGGUUUAGGACGAGUCUCCGCAUCUCAGUGCUCCAAUCAACUUUGAUUAUUUUUUCCGCCUCACUAUUCGAUUCGUAAUCAAUAACGGAUUCAAGAUUCAUUCUCGAUUCAUUCGACUUCGGGGAGGGGGGCUAUUCUCAGGAUCUACUCCAGUGUGCUUCUGUGGGAUAAGAAAAGUGGUGAGGGCAAAUGAAAGCAUGAAAGCAGAGUUAUUGUGUCUACGACUAUGUCGUUUUUAUGUUUGAAAGAGUUAUGUAUAUACCGAAUAUAAUGAUGAAAAACGCACAAAAGUGAAACUAAGGCAAAAAAAAUUUGGUAGUCUUUUUAUCCCCCUAACCUCUACGUCUUCCCCUCGUGAUGAGCGAUUAGAAAACAAGGCCUCAGAUUUGAUGAUGCCGUUGAUGGGAUCGACAAGCAGUGACUAACAGUUUUGGGCUGACCAUGCUUGAUCGUGGGGUUGACGGAGUCUCCCUCCCUCCCUCCCUCUCUCUCUGUUUCUCACUCUGCGUCUGUGAGACCCCCCUAACCGUUGAGCAGGGACCCAGACGUGGGCACAUGAGGUCAAGCCUCUUAAAGACCUCCUCGUCUCUGUCCUCCUCCUCCUCCUCGCCUCUUCGUCCUCCUAACCUGGUGUAAGUCAUCACCAUCGUCGCGACCGGCUGGGUGCCAGGUUCAGUUGUGCAAAAGCAGUACCGCGUGGGUCCUUCCCCAUCCUCUCCCCUGCUCAUCCCCACGUCUUACACUCACUCACUCACUCCUUCACCAUUGUUCUCUGCAAUUCAAUCAGUUGAAUUAUGUGGGUCUCCCGAGCAGUGUGCUCGAGAGACCCACAGACACACACACCUUCCAUUUUAUUUCCUUAUUCCUUCUCUGCAGGGUCUCCUACAAUCACCCCACAAUCUUUUUUUGCACUUGACACACACACACACACACACACACACACACACACACACACACACACACACACACACACACACACACACACACACACACACACACACACACAUCCCAAAGUCCCUCUCUGGCGUCUGUUGUUUCUCUCUCCUUCUCUCGGGUGGUGUUAGAACAACAGCCCCGGUUCUCCCGCAGGUCCUCACCUCUUCCUGCUGUGCGCCUGUAAGGCACCACAUGACGCGGUAUCACUCAUUCCCGUUCCCCGUGGAUGACUCUGCACCAGCCCACAGAGCUGCUGCAGAGUGCAGAUGUCAAAACGGGACUUUUUAAAAUGAUGGCUCAUAGAAUGGGCCAUGAUUGAUCUAUGAGGCGUACUGGUCUCUUAGUCAGUCUAUGUACAUGGAUUAAAAUAAAACACUGCUGAUGGAUCAUGAAUUAAUAAGGCGUUAGAAUUUGGAAUGAGAAACAGGCAUGUGAACAAUGUCAUCGUUCAAAGCGCGAGCCCCUGCCAAGCAAAUCAUUUGGCGUUCUUCGUAACGAUCUUUGAGAUGUCGGGAUUGCCAAUUACCAUUCCCAGUCCCCCCCGUCGUGUGUGUGUGUGUGUGUGUGUGUGUGUGUGUGUGUGUGUGUGUGUGUGUGUGUGUGUGUGUGUGUGUGUGUGUGUGUGUGUGUGUGUGUGUGUGUGUGUGUGUGUGUGUGUGUGUGUGUGUGUGUGUGUGUGUGUGUGUGUGUGUGUGUCCCAUCUGAAUCCAUGCACUGUUGCCAGUAGCCGCUCUCCAGCCGUGCCAGGCUGUUUUGUGACCGCAGUAGGACAUCACUGUUGUGGUGGUUUGUUUUAUAAUGAUAUGCUUCCAUGAACAAGCCUUCCACAAUCCAAGUCACUCAUACAGAUCUGGAUUACAGGCAUUCACCAGAAACACAUCUCUCUCUGCCUGUCUCUCCCCCAUGUACCCAAGAAAUAACAGUGGCUUUUGCAAACCGUGUCAACAAAGCAUGUCAAUGCUGUAUAAUAACAAUAUGUGAGGGGUUCAUUGCAUUGCCCUGGUGCUGGUGCAAACCGUUUCUGUAACGCGACUGUGGUGUGUGAACAGCAAGUUUAGAGGAGUGUGUUUGCUGGCAUGGUGCACUUGUUAGAGCGUGAUCGACCCUGCAAAACAAUGGUGGGUGCUACACUAACGGCGACACCAAAAGCAGGGCUUCAGUGUGCUCACACACACGCACGCACGCGCGCACACCGAAAACAUGGAGCUGUCAAAAGAAUGUGAUCUAUUGGUGCGUUCCAGAGCCCAUCCAAACAGGAUGUGGGACUUAUCCUACCUGAACUGUACUAGCUCCUACUUGGUGAAGUGGGGGUAGGUCGAUCACCCCCCAGUUCGAUAGUAGGAGGUUCCAUUUCGACGGUGGGAUGUUCCACUUCGACAGGCAUUCCAGUGCACUUUUCUUAGUUGGAGGUAGGAUAAGUCCCACGUCCCACUGGUUUGGAUGGGCUCUGGAACGCACCAUUUCAGCACAGUAUUGCGACAUUCAGAAGCUGCUGAAUUAUUGACCUGGUGAUCAUACAUCUCAGGUCAAGAGUGGCAAACUAACUAACGCCAAAUCUGGUGGGUGUCUUUAUAUUAAUACGAGACUGAGAUGACCUCAAUUUAAUGUAUUGUGAUAUGAAUAUAGCAUAUUUUGUAAUAUGACAUAUAUGACAUUAUUACGGCAUAUAUUCAUAUGGCCACAUGUCAAUAUCGUAUGUUGUUCACAUCCUGUAGUGGUCAAUGAUGACUUCGACCAACGUCACCCUACAACCACCCACAUCGUCUCCGUGACGACGGCCCAGGCCUGCUUUUAAAAGGCCUGGAACAUGAACUGAAUCCGCCACACACUGAAUAUUCAUCUCAACCCUGUGUGUGUGUGUGUGUGGCAGGAUCUGGGCAGGAUCUGCUAGUGGGUGUCAUUCGUUGACUGAUAUCCAAAUCCCAGUCCACAGGCGGGUUUUGCAGUGGAGCCCUGACAAAGCCUUUGACUCAUCAUUUGAAUGAAGUGUUUCUGGUGGUUCUGUCUCGGAGCAUAUUGCCAGUAUGGGAAACAAAGCGGGAAAACCUCUGCACUGUCGUUGUUAUUCGUCCGUGGACUCCUCUUGAUCCUAGAGUGAGAAGCUGUGGAAUACAUUUAGGGAUGAAAGUGCAUCUACAACGAAAGUGCCUCACGAACAGCGUUGCAUGCUUGUGUGCAGAAGAGUUAUUUAAGGAAUCAGUCAGGGCUAGAUUUUUAUUUCUAUGUGUAUCCUUGAUGAGCCGUGGUGCUCCAGUGCGUCGUAGGGGAUGUGGUAGGCUGCAUCACAUUAAGGUGAUGUUUGUGUGAAACAACAACAAUAACACAUCGGCUACCGUGAUGUUCUCGGAAGAGUUGGCUCUUCGUGUGUGUGUGUGUGUGUGUGUGUGUGUGUGUGUGUGUGUGUGUGUGUGUGUGUGUGUGUGUGUGUGUGUGUGUGUGUGUGUGUGUGUGUGUGUGUGUGUGUGUGUGUGUGUGUGUGUGUGUGUGUGUCAUGCGCCAUGCGCGCGGUGCAGGUGUAACUUGGGUGGAUUGUCUCUGCGUGGUAAUCCCUGAGCGGCUCAGCUUACCAAACUCUCUCUCUGCGGUGUCAUCUCACGUCCCCUGAUACAGUUAACACACCCUGACCUUGACGCAGCGCCGGGGAUACGUGUGACUGUAGAGUAGGCCGCAUAACGCGUCCGAGGACCCCCCCCCCCAGAACCAAACGACAAGUACAUCCCGCGUUUACGCUGAUGUCUCGGUGAUGUAUUUCGGAUAAUGCAACAGCCCCAGCAGAGGACGGCAAUGCGGCCACGAGGUGUGAUUCCCCAUCAGCUUGUUUUCAUGCGCAUUUUUUUUUAAUUAGCGCAUAACCCGCCAAAAAAAGCGGAGUGCUUUUUCUUUAUGGCUGAGGGAGGGGCAAGCCGGUGUAUUGGUGAAAGGUAAACGCCACCAAGGUCCGUGGGAGCAGAUUCAGCGAAUAGAGGCACACGAGCGAAUAAAUGAUGGAGUACAGAAAUCGCGUAACUUGAAUGUCACUCAGGCUAAAGCUCGUGUGCACACAGGGCUGUUUCCAGUCUGCCAAGAGCACAUGGCUCACAUACCCCCCCGGAGCAUGAGCAUCUUGCUGUCAACUGGUGUGUGUGUGUGUGUGUGUGUGUGUGUGUGUGUGUGUGUGUGUGUGUGUGUGUGUGUGUGUGUGUGUGUGUGUGUGUGUGUGUGUGUGUGUGUGUGUGUGUGUGUGUGUGUGUGUGUGUGUGUGUGUGUGUCAAUACACAAUGUGUUGGUCCAUAACCAAGGAAGCCAUUGCGAUCUUCCGUUGUGAUAGGGGGUUUCCUAUUUCCCCCUGAUAGCCAAUCCCGCGGGGCAAGUGGGUCCAAAGGGGGGGGGGGGGGGGGGGGAGAGAGAGAUGAAUUACAGUGUCUGAAACUGCUCCGGAUUAGGAGUUUGCCAUGCUCAUUAAUCUGUAAUCGCGUUAAUGAAGGGGUCAAUUGUAUCUGUGUUUGUGUGUGCGUGCACUCGCCUGGUCUUGUGCUUUGUAUGUGUGUGUGUGCACGCGUGUCGGGAGCGACGUUUCCACGAGGGAUCGUGUGUCACGCUGUGUGUAUUGGAUCGGAAACGGCAGCGGCGAUCGAACAAGGAUCUUCUAUUGCAGGAAGGCGCUCGACACACACACACACACACACACACACACACACACACACACACACACACACACACACACACACACACACACACACACACACACACACACACACACACACACACACACACACACACACACACACACACACACACACACACAGGCGUCCCGGAUCCACGUUGGGCCUUGAUGCAACACAUGGAGCCCAUGUGUGUGUCCAGACGGGAUAACAUGUGUGGGUGCUUGGGGAGUCCCGGUCCCUCAGUGUGUCCUUGCCUGGGGCUGUAGGGCUUGGAUGAGAGAGGGAGGGAGAUGGGGAACAAGAGAUAGGUUAAGAACAAGAGAGAGGAGUGGUCGCGGGAGGGGCCAGCGGAAAUAAGCGUGAGGUCACUUGUUGUUGUGGUUCUCUCCGCCCGUCCCCUGUGAGACGGCUGGGCGUGGCUCGGACGGUUGCCCGCGGCAACAAGGACAUCCAAGUGACCAAUCAAAUCAAGGAGAGGGAGGAAAAAGGGAAAGAGAGGCCGCUUCCUUUUUCGUCUGUCUAUUCCUGUGUCAAUGUAUAAAUACAUGCAUCAUAUAUUCAUCUACACAUCAGAUUUCAUAUCUGACACCCAGUAGUAACACGAGGAAUUGGAGAAGGAGGAAUUGUAAAGUGGGAGUGGUUGUGAAAAUGCUAGAGAUGUGAAAUAUGUGGAGGAUAGUGGAAAGGGGAUUAAACAUCUUCUAAGGGAGAGAGAGAGACACACACACACACACACACACACACACACACACACACACACACACACACACACACACAGUCAGUAGGUGCAGGAAGGUUGCUUUAAGAACAGCGAGUGCGAGAAUGAGGGGAGGAUUCGUGAGGGAGAGCGGGUUCUGGGGGUGACGAGGGCUACUUGGUGUGAUGGAGCAGGCGUCGUAAGGGGAAGGACGACAGCAGACGGCAAGGCAAUGUCCAACAGGCCGUAAAGAGCUGUGGAGCAGGGAGGAGGAGGGGGCUUUACCGACUGCUUUCCCCCUGUCUGUCUCUCUCGCUCCGCUUGUCGCUAUCAAUGGUGGAGUUAUGCGUUAUGGAGUUGAGUCUGGAUCCCCUGUCUUAAGUCUCCCUCGUUCUCCCCCCUCCUCCCUCUCUUUAUUAAUCAUUUUCAACCUCCUCGCUUCCUCAGUCUCUCAAUUUAAAGCCAAAUUUUUUGUUAACGGUUUAGUUGCAUCUUGUGUUUUCAUUCGCUCUCUCGUUCUGUGUGUGUGUGUGUGUGUGUGUGUGUGUGUGUGUGUUACUCUUUCUAGGUCUCUCCCCCCUCAGAGGGAUGUAGAGCUAUCUAUCUAUUCAUCAUAAUAAAACCCUAUACCUUAAAAGCCCCGUAUCAGUGUCUGUCUACUCCGCAGCCCUGAUUGGCUAGCCAGCCCCUCCGAGGCAGACACCGUCCAUCUCUGUCCCGUUGGCCCCAUUACGGAUCUCCUCCCACCCUCACUCUUGAGCCACGAUGGCUCCGGCGUGGACGAACCGUUCCCAAACGCUUUUCCACAGUUAUGUUCACGAGCACUUCGGCACUUGAAGGAUCACCCUGCAAGGCUUUUUAGUGGCGGUCUCUCUCCCUGCGGUUGGUUAUGUUUCCUGCCUAAAAAGCGUCACUUUGGCCGCCAUUUUGGAUUUGAAACAUUUCGGUGUCACCGCCAUGAUCCGUGUGACUUGUCCCUUGUCCAGACGGCUGGCGUUUAUUUGAAACCGGAGUAGCCUCCUGUUAUCAGAGGAACAAAGCGCUGUGCUUAAGAACGCCCCCGGGCUCAACGGGCCAAUGACCCCUUUUCACAGAUGGUCAGUAGCAGUGUAAAUGAACUUCCUUUUCCUGUAGCUCAAACCUUGGGCAAGUUUAAUUGACGUCCGUUGCACCACAACCAUGGUCAAUGUACCUUUACUUGACUAGUUAUGUCUGUACUGGUGCAUUGCCAUGCCUAAAUUGAAUGGACUCAUAAUUAAUGCUAGGAGCCACACCCGUGUUAUUCCAACUGUAUAAAGGGGUGAUUACGUUAUCUGUUGCAAUGACCGCUCCAGUAUCACCCCCCCCCCCCCCCCGCCCACACACACACUCACACACGCACCGUUUCAUGAUACAGCGAUGUAUUUCUGUCCCGCAUAUAUUUAUUGGUCCCUGAAUGCAACACUACCUCUCAAAGUGGGAGCCAUCACUAUUCCACUGUUUAAAACUGAGUAGCUUACCAUUUGUCUACAUCUGCGUCGGUUCGCCUUUGACUUUGUUCUGAGGCGAACAUCGGUUUUAAUGCAUGAUCGUGCGGUUGUCCCUCGUGUUUGUGAAUGGGAUGCGUGCGAUCAAGUACUUUGUUGUUCUUUAUGUAUUUCUGUCCUUGUAUUCAUUUUGUUGUCUUUAUGCUACGCACAUCGCAAAGCAGUGUCACACGCCUAUGCACAGAUGGCUAGUCUAGCCCUAAGGUGCUGACACGUGCGUCAUGCAAAAGGAUACGCACAUACACACAUCCACACACACACUCUUAAUAAACCCACAACCCAUGCCCGCGGGUCAGUUGGGACCAAACGCCGAAGAUCCUUUCAAGAUUGGCUCUCUGAGUGUGUGUGCAUCUUGUGGACACACACACACACACACACACACACACACACACACACACACACACACACACACACACACACACACACACACACACACACACACACACACACACACACACACACACACACACACACACACACACACACACACACACACACACACACACACACAAA